UAUGUGAUAUAGCUGAUUAAGACAUGGAGACAAGAAAUGAUUUUGAACACAUACAACAGGCGGCCUCCUCCUUCUUGUGCUACCGCACCGGAAACAACCGCCAUAGCCGGCAGUUCCCAUAGCGUCGAGGUCGACAUGGACGACACCCACCACGAGUUCGCUGAAAUGCCCUCAAGUUAGUAUCGUAUAAAGUUUUGAUUUCUCGAGAUUUUGAGGGAAUCUUCAGCUCCGAUCAAGUUGCCCGUGUGCUGUGUGGCUGGCAGAGGCGCGAAGAGGAGGCUAACUAGAUUGCGAUGCUGGUGGAUGCCAAGGGAUUGACUCAAUCAGGUUCUGGUGAAAUUACCCAUUGAAAGAGUUGUGCUUUGAUCGGGAUGAAACUACCCAAUGAAAGAAUUGUGUCUGCCCAUCACCAACAAUGAGGGCAGCAGGAUCACAUAGACAACCACCGCUUAGGAGUCCAGUACAACAAGUAUAAUCUUUGAGAGAACAAUGUAGAUUUGCACCACUGCUGGAGGUGAAGUUUAAAAGAUUUUGACUUUGCCUCUUAAUCAAUUUACGUAUACAAUUUCAUUAUACUAGAACAUACGAUGAUGUUCAAUAGCUUUGUAUUUUAUUAUCUUUCUGUUUUUUAUCAAUUCAUUUUUUUCACUACCAUUACACUAUAAAUUUUGCAUGUACAGAAGGUAUGCUUAAGUUUCUUAGAAAUAUUAUAUUUAUAUUUUCUUCAAUGAGUAUUGUAAAUAAAUGUGUAAGAAUGGAAUGAACCAUCUGUUGUCUGAAUAGCAAGGAGGAAUUGAAAUUUUUCUAUAGCUAUUUUUUUAUUCUCAGCUUACUGUUCCUUGCAUUGAACUCUAUGUCCAUGUUUUAUUUUGCGAAACAACUCUAUGUCAAUGUUUGGAACCAACCAUUUGUGUUCGUAUCGAAUAGGUCGACAGUGAUAGCCAAAUGAGGUAGGCAGCAUGUGUAUUACGUGGGCUUCGGGGUCCUCCAGCAUGGCUUUGCGUCCUUCAAGAUGCGCACACCUGGCUGACUUCUGACGAGGAGGGGGAGGACCUCUUCAACUACUAUGCUUUCACCACUUCUCUUUUUUGUUCUGUAGCGCACAAAAUCUAUGCCUUUUCUAUUUUGCUCCUUCUGUAGUGUAACUGGUCCAUUGAAUUCUAAGUUUUGGAUGGUAGGCCAUAGGCAUGAAGUUGUUGCCUGAUUGCUAGAGAGUUAAGGCCAAUUCUGCAAUUAAUCGGGAAAUAUGCUCAGUCUGUUUGGGUAAAACUGGAUUAGCUCUAAAUUCUUACAAUUUAUACAAAUUUGAAUUGAAUCACAAAAGAUCUACUACCCAAACAGGACCUCGGACCCAGUUAAGUUAAGCCUGCAUUCUUGUGUUCAGCAUAUUCUGCAGCCGAAGGAGCGAAAUCUUGAACAGCGACAUCGAGUAACUGUUAGAAUAUAGGAAGCUACCUACUGUGGGUGCCAGUGCUAGAACCUGGAAGUCAAGAGCAGUAAAGGAAUUACGAGUCACAUCAACACCUUGUUAGAAUUUAGGAAGCUUCUUAGGCUUGUGUGAGCUUUGGUUUAUUGGUAAUAGUGAGUGUUGUAGUUUAUGAUGUCAUCUAUUAAUAAGCCUGAUUCAAAUAUGAUUAUGUUCCCUAGACCAUUUUGCUUUGUAUGGACUCUCUAGCUGGAUGUCUUGAUUUACUUGCAUCAUUGGACUGCAAGCAUAUGUUUUGUGCUUGUAACCACCAUCAUUGUUUUGAGCAAUUAGAUUUUUAAUAAUAUGAACCAAAUUUGACCAAGUUAGCAUGGAACUUGUCAGAAAAUUCAAAGUGUCCAAGAUCUGGAAAAUGACAUCGAUGUAAGUAACUGGUCGAACUGCUAUUUUCCUUUUUUGUGAAAUAGCUUAGAAGAAGUAAAAAAGAAAUGAGCUUAGUCUUGUUGUUAGUUAUGUAUAUGUCGCAUUGCAAAACUUCAUGCAUAUGCACAUGAGGCACAAUUAUUGUUUCAUGACAUAUAUGAAGCGAUUUGAAGUGCUUAAUUAUUCUUAUUUUUCUGCAAUUGGGAAGUAUUCCUCUAAUGACGAUAGAUUCUGGUCUUGAACAAUGGUCUUGAGGAUCUUUUAUCAAGAUUUUGUUAUCCUUGUAGGCAUAACAUAUCUGUUUUUUUUUAAACAUGCUUAUGUAUCUACAUUAUUGAUACCUUGCAGGUGCUUGUGAAACAAGCAGGACCAAAACUUCAAGAUAGUGCAAGUUAAUGAAAUCCUUUUGUCUAAGAUUUAGCUAUUAGCCUAUUCUAUAUGUUUCUCCGCAAUGUGUUAUGUGUUAAUUAUGUGAACAACCAGUCAGCUGCCACUACAUAGAGGCUUAUUGUUUGCAUCAAUGCCUUUUGAUUUAAAGAAAAUUAGGUGGUCUUUUGGUUUCCCGGCAUAUUUGGUGCAUUCAAACAGAUUCUAAGCGUAGAAAGGGAGAAUUGUGACAUUACAGUGGCUGAGAAACAAUGUUUUACUGAAUCUCGUAAUUUGCUAGCUCCGGAUUGUUCAGGAAUAAAACAACACUCUAUGUGGUAAUAUGGAAUUUGCAAACUUUCUAGGCUUGUGUGCAAAAAUCUGGCUUAUUGAUUCAAGGUAAAUUUUGUGAAUUCGAAUCGAUUCCAGUUAUGUACAACCAUUAGCCUUGUUGUUUCAACCGCAGAAUUUCCUAAGAAUACUGCUUGAUUCAAUCCUCCAUGCUGUAAUUAGGCUCUCUCUCUAGCAUAUCAGUUCAAUCCUGUUCUCUAUGUGUUCUGCAGUGUUUUUCUUUGGGAUGUUAUGUAAAAUGCCUCCGGCCAGGCUUUUGAAGGUGUCAGAUAGCACGUCGGGAAGUGGCUUUCAAUCGGUGCAGAUUUUUGUGGCUUUUUUUGAAAUGAGGGGCUAAGUUCUUUGGAUCAUUGGCAUAUGCUGCCCAUAUCCAUGAUGACAACACCUGAAGUUGUUAGAAAUGUUUUAAGGUGCAUGAAUGUGUUAAAGAGGCCGUGGCCUCUCGAUUUGACUAUAUUCGAAGAUACUUCGAUACACCGCGCUUAGAGUCUGGAAGCAACUUCCCUGCAUUGAAGUACUAUCAAUGUUGGGGGAGGUGUUGCUCAUGUGGAAGCUGGCUGGGGAUAGAGGAGUUUCUCAUCUCCUUGCCAUGGUGCCUUCCACAAUUUAGUUUUAGCAGUAGCCUUGUAGGGUCUGUUCCUCCUUUUGUGUUAAAAGGGUGAGUAGUUUUUUGUAAAGUGUUUGGUGUUUGGUUUUUGUAAAACUUGGCUAUAUGCUGGGUGUUUCCUAUAAAUCCUUUCUUCUUAAUAUAUUGAU